rnacentral:tRNA from 1 species
GGGGCUGUAGCUCAGUUGGGAGAGCNNCGUCGGUUCGAUCCCGAUCAGCUCCACCA